rnacentral:rRNA from 1 species
AGCGAACGCUGGCGGCAGGCCUAACACAUGCAAGUCGAACGGACCCUUCGGGGUUAGUGGCGGACGGGUGAGUAACACGUGGGAACGUGCCUUUAGGUUCGGAAUAGCUCCUGGAAACGGGUGGUAAUGCCGAAUGUGCCCUUCGGGGGAAAGAUUUAUCGCCUUUAGAGCGGCCCGCGUCUGAUUAGCUAGUUGGUGAGGUAAUGGCUCACCAAGGCGACGAUCAGUAGCUGGUCUGAGAGGAUGACCAGCCACAUUGGGACUGAGACACGGCGCAAACUCCUACGGGAGGCAGCAGUGGGUAAUCUUGCGCAAUGGGCGAAAGCCUGACGCAGCCAUGCCGCGUGGAUGAUGAAGGUCUUAGGAUUGUAAAAUCCUUUCACCGGUGAAGAUAAUGACUGUAGCCGGAGAAGAAGCCCCGGCUAACUUCGUGCCAGCCGCCGCCGUAACAC